GAGUGCUUGUGGUGAAUCCUCACACCAGCAGUCGUGCUUUCGCUUGUCAUACUAGAACCAGGACGGGAGCUGAAAGACAGCAAGACGAUAACCUUACCUCUACCUUGGUGGGUUAAUUGGUUCUCUGUUGGUGAUAAAACUCCAUCUCAGCUAUAUAUAUGAAAGAAUUCAGAGAUCAUCUGAACAUCUGCUUAGAAAAUAAGCCAUGCAAUAAUGGAGAAGGACGUUUGAUCACUGUCACAGUCCUGGGCCUUCCUACUACCCUGCCAACAAUGUCAGCCACCACUUACCUUCACGUCUGUGAUUGUUCUGCUUUCCUCACUCUUGAGGCUUCAGCAGCUGCCAGGAAUUUGGUGCAGAGGAGAAGAACCUCCCACUGGUUGGGCUAAGGACACAAGUAACUUUUGGGCUAGAUAUUUAUUUAAAUAAUUUGAAUUGAUUGAUUAUGUGCAACCAAGUCAUUUUCUACUCCUAGCGAACACACAGAUAGAUUUUCUCCAUGACCAGGUCCCCAACCUGGUCUUCCAGGUCUUCCAACGUUGCAUUCAUUGCCACCACAAGAAUUGACCACUGUAAUAAUUCCUAGAUGGGACUCCAUUCUGCUAUAGCUGGACUAUGUCAAUUACAACCUUUCUGGAUUGUGUUGGUGGGGGGUCAGUCCAUCUUACUGUCUUUCAUGGCAAUGCCCAAUUGGCCAAUCCUUUUGAUUGUGAAGGAACUGGGAAAAUCACCAAAGUCUCUUUCAAGCUGAAUCCUGCUGUUGAUUGAUUGUCCAUAUUUCCUCUGGCACAAAAGUUAAUGUCACAUCACACACUGAUUCACUUUCUGUUGUUAUCCUGAAAAUUAAAUGUUUCAUCUUGCCUUGCAUCGCAUUUUGAUAUUCAAAAGUGAGAGGAAUGAUCUUGGCUGGAAAAAAACAACACAACAGCAGAGAGCUUCAGAAAGAUCCCUCCGAUGAAGAAUAGAUGUUUGCAAACAAAGUUGUAAUUUAGUAGCUACAGUAACAGUGUUUUCUUUUCCCUUAAUGGGUAACUUUCAACUGUGCAAAUGUUGCUGUAGGUAGAAAUACUGUAUAUGGAUGUUCGAUAUGUUUUUUUUCUUCUUAGUACAUAUAUGUGUAUAUGCGUACA